AUUGAACGCUGGCGGCAGGCCUAACACAUGCAAGUCGAACGAGUGGCGGACGGGUGAGUAAUGUCUGGGAAACUGCCCGAUGGAGGGGGAUCACUACUGGAAACGGUAGCUAAUACCGCAUACCAUCGGAUGUGCCCAGAUGGGAUUAGCUUGUAGGUGAGGUAACGGGUCACCUAGGCAACGAUCCCUAGCUGGUCUGAGAGGAUGACCAGCCACACUGGAACUAGGACACGGUACUGAGUCCUACGGCAGGCAGCCGUAGGGAAUAUUGCACAAUGGGAGCAAGGCUGAUGCCGCCAUGCCGCUUGUAUGAAGAAGGCCUUCGGGUUGUAAAGUACUUUCUGCGGGGAGGCGUUACCCGCAGAAGAAGCACCGGCUAACUCCGUGCCAGCCGCCGCGGUAAUAC
rnacentral:rRNA from 1 species